rnacentral:rRNA from 1 species
ACCAGACUCCUACGGGAGGCAGCAGUGGGGAAUAUUGGACAAUGGGGGGAACCCUGAUCCAGCGACGCCGCGUGAGUGAAGAAGUAUUUCGGUAUGUAAAGCUCUAUCAGCAGGGAAGAAAGAAAUGACGGUACCUGACUAAGAAGCCCCGGCUAACUACGUGCCAGCAGCCGCGGUAAUACGUAGGGGGCAAGCGGUAUCCGGAUUUACUGGGUGUAAAGGGGGCGCAGACGGCAGCGCAAGCCAGGAGUGAAAGCCCGGGGCCCAACCCCGGGCCUGCUCUUGGAACUGCGGGGCUGGAGUGCAGGAGGGGCAGGCGGAAUUCCUGGUGUAGCGGUGAAAUGCGUAGAUAUCAGGAGGAACACCGGUGGCGAAGGCGGCCUGCUGGACUGCGACUGACGUUGAGGCCCGAAAGCGUGGGGAGCAAACAGGAUUAGAUACCCGAGUA